CCUACGGGAGGCAGCAGUGGGGGAUAUUGCACAAUGGGGGGAACCCUGAUGCAGCGACGCCGCGUGGGUGAAGAAGCGCCUCGGCGCGUAAAGCUCCGUCAGCAGGGAAGAAAAUGACGGUACCUGAAGAAGAAGCCCCGGCUAACUACGUGCCAGCAGCCGCGGCAAUACGGAGGCGGCAAGCGUUAUCCGGAUUUACUGGGCGUAAAGGGGGCGCAGACGGCGAUGCAAGCCAGGAGUGAAAGGCCGGGGUCCAACCCCGGGACUGCUCUUGGAACUGGGUGGCUGGAGUGCAGGAGGGGCAGGCGGAAUGCCUGGUGUAGCGGUGAAUUGCGUAGAGAUCAGGAGGAACACCGAUGGCGAAGGCAGCCUGCUAGACUGCAACUGACGUUGAGGCCCGAAAGCGUGGGGAGCAAACAGGAUUAGAUACCCCAGUAGUC
rnacentral:rRNA from 1 species